AAGGGUAUAGCUCAGUGGUAGAGUGCCUGCUCAGUAUGCAUGAGUCAUGGGUUCAACCUCCAAUACCUCCA
rnacentral:tRNA from 1 species